UACGAAGGGGACUAGCGUUGUUCGGAAUCACUGGGCGUAAAGCGCACGUAGGCGGAUGUGUCAGUCAGGGGUGAAAUCCCGGGGCUCAACCUCGGAACUGCCUUUGAUACAGCACGUCUCGAGUCCGGAAGAGGUGGAUGGAAUUCCUAGUGUAGAGGUGAAAUUCGUAGAUAUUAGGAAGAACACCGGUGGCGAAGGCGGCCCACUGGUCCGGUACUGACGCUGAGGUGCGAAAGCGUGGGGAGCAAACAGG
rnacentral:rRNA from 1 species